CCUACGGGUGGCAGCAGUGAGGAAUAUUGGUCAAUGGGCGCUAGCCUGAACCAGCCAAGUAGCGUGAAGGAUGACUGCCCUACGGGUUGUAAACUUCUUUUAUAACGGAAUAAAGUGAGGCACGUGUACCUUUUUGUAUGUACUUUAUGAAUAAGGAUCGGCUAACUCCGUGCCAGCAGCAGCGGUAAUACGGAGGAUCCGAGCGUUAUCCGGAUUUAUUGGGUUUAAAGGGAGCGUAGGUGGGUUGUUAAGUCAGUUGUGAAAGUUUGCGGCUCAACCGUAAAAUUGCAAUUGAUACUGGCAGCCUUGAGUACAGUAGAGGUAGGCGGAAUUCGUGGUGUAGCGGUGAAAUGCUUAGAUAUCACGAAGAACUCCGAUUGCGAAGGCAGCUUACUAAACUGCAACUGACAUUGAUGCGCGAAAGUGUGGGUAUCAAACAGGAUGAGAUACCCCAGUAGUC
rnacentral:rRNA from 1 species